UACGUAGGGUGCGAGCGUUGUCCGGAAUUAUUGGGCGUAAAGAGCUCGUAGGCGGUGUGUCACGUCGGCCGUGAAAACCUGCAGCUUAACUGUGGGCGUGCGGUCGAUACGGGCAUCACUGGAGUUCGGCAGGGGAGACUGGAAUUCCUGGUGUAGCGGUGAAAUGCGCAGAUAUCAGGAGGAACACCGGUGGCGAAGGCGCCACUCUGGGCCGGUACUGACGCUGAGGAGCGAAAGCGUGGGUAGCAAACGGG
rnacentral:rRNA from 1 species